CCUCCCUCCCUCCCUCUCGCUUCCGCCGCCGACGAUCGCCAAUGGAAGCGGCCGACCUCGUUCCUUUCCUCGACGCUAAUCGCGUUCCGGCUCCCCGAUUCUUGACGUCGUCUGGGAUGCGGAUGCGUUCUUACCGUGGUUUGUUUCUGUUUAGGCGGUGGGGAAAGGUGCAAGAAUCCGAUCGGGAGACGGUGAAAACACUGGUGGCCGUCCAUCGACGACCUUUGACCACGAUUGGACCGAAUCCGAUCUUGUCUUCAGCUUUCAGCGUGGCAGCGAUUCGAGCCAGGUUGAUGUUGAGGCCGAAGGGGUUUCUAGCUGCAGCUAAUCGGCCGCGAUAUGCGGCCGCGGGCCAUCAGAUGGUGUUGCUGCAGAAGCAGGGAUAGGAAUGAUGAUGCUAAUUGGAAAUGAAGAAUAGUGGAAGCUCAUGUUCAUGGGAAGACUCUGCAGAUGCUUUGAAGCAAGAAAGCUGGUUGUCUGCCGGAAGAGACGGUCACAUGGUAAAUAGACACUGAACCUGUUCCCGGUUACUCAAAUUCCAAUGAAAUGUUACAAUGGACAUGGAGUGUAACAUCAGAGAGACUGGAGCAUACUCUGUUCCCUGGAGCCCCCAUGCAUCCGAGAAGCCAAUAAUUUCCUGAUGCAUCUGUUCAGGCCCGACAACACCGAUAGGAAUAUCACGUGGAGUUUGAUGAGCUUUCUGGGCCUGUUGCCUUCAUCACCUUCCCUGUCACCUGCUUCUACUGUGUCUUCGAUCGAUGCGGCCACCGACGCGUCGCCCUUUUUUCUUGAUUUAAACGAUGAAUGCGGCUUCUUUGAGAUAAGAGGCCUUGUUGGACUGCAUACAGUUUGAUCCUGUUCCUAGUUUGUCAACAUCUCUUAGUGGCCCGAUAAACAUGUAAGUCUAUGAUGCAUGGUGUUGCAGGACUAUGGUAACAUCUGAAGGAGGAGCGAGGACUCUGUCCACAACCUCUACCUUAUCUACAGAUCUCUGAGGUCAUGUCAUCGCAGAGUUUCUCCUAAUAAAAACAAUGUGGUAGCCUCUGAAAUCUGGAACUCUGCAGUGGCCGUAUAUGGCACCAUUUACCUGCUCCAUGUGGUUUCCACAAUGCUUGACAGCCAUUAGCACAGACCACACUACGGGGACUGAUCUUAAAGGUUGCCAUAUAUUGGAAGAAAAAUGAAGUCUCAUCUGUUCUGUCAAUAAUUGCAAACAGAUCUGUGGAGCCAAGACAUCUAAUCUGAUGGGACAUCUCAUAAGUAGAAGCAUAUGCUUGUCAGUAGUAUCAGCUUGUUCUAUAUAUUCUCUUUCCCCAGCAGCUUCAACAUGAUAUAUGGUGGUGGGGACGUUAGUCCAAAAAAAGAAAUAUGUGCCAAUAAUGCAUACAUGUCUGAUGUGUAUAAGCUUGACUAGGUCCUAAAUCAGUCUUGUUUGCUAACAUGGGAGACGGCAUCAGAGGAAAGCAGAACACAAAAUAAGAACAAGGUGGUGUGGAAGCUUAGCAGAUCAAAAACCUGCAAUUGGAAAUGAGUGGUGAAAGCUUUUUGAUGCCUCGGUGAGCUGUUCAAAAUGUCACUGUCGAAAGGUAUUUAGCAAAAUCUUGCUAUUUGUUUUGCACGUAAUUUUGGACUGUAGCUACGAAAAGUCUUUCUGGUCCGGCGUGCUGGAGUGGUAGUCUGAAUGAAUAUUUUGUUUCCUUGCAGUGGUAAUUGAAAUCAA